GAUGAACGCUGGCGGCGUGCCUAAUACAUGCAAGUCGAGCGAACGGACGAGAAGCUUGCUUCUCUGAUGUUAGCGGCGGACGGGUGGGUAACACGUGGAUAACCUACCUAUAAGACUGGGAUAACUUCGGGAAACCGGAGCUAAUACCGGAUAAUAUUUUGAACCGCAUGGUUCAAAAGUGAAAGACGGUCUUGCUGUCACUUAUAGAUGGAUCCGCGCUGCAUUAGCUAGUUGGUAAGGUAACGGCUUACCAAGGCAACGAUGCAUAGCCGACCUGAGAGGGUGAUCGGCCACACUGGAACUGAGACACGGUCCAGACUCCUACGGGAGGCAGCAGUAGGGAAUCUUCCGCAAUGGGCGAAAGCCUGACGGAGCAACGCCGCGUGAGUGAUGAAGGUCUUCGGAUCGUAAAACUCUGUUAUUAGGGAGGAACAUAUGUGUAAGUAACUGUGCACAUCUUGACGGUACCUAAUCAGAAAGCCACGGCUAACUACGUG
rnacentral:rRNA from 1 species